UGGCAUGUCAAGCGAUGCUAGGUCUGUGCUGGGGAUCCGAACCUGCAAACCGUGGGCCGCUAAAGCAGUGUGUGAACUUAACCACUGUGCUACAGGGCCAGCCCCUUCUCAGCAUUUUUAAGACAUUGGUCUACUGUCUUCUAGCUAACUCUGUUGUGGUUGAGAAUUCUCAAGCCAUUUUGAGUUCUAAUAUUUUAUUUGUGACUUUUUAUGAUGGUGAGCAUUCCCUGGAAGCUUUAAAUCUUUCUGUUUGUCUCGAGCAUUUCGUGAUGAUGUGCCUUUAAUGUGGAUUUACAGUUGUCCACUGUGCUGAGCUCAGCCCCAGAGAAUCUUGUUUCCACCGAGCCAAAAUCUUAUAAGGUCUAUAAAGGAAGCAGAGAAGGACCUAUUAUUGCAAUUUUGCAAGUGAGGAAAUUGAGGGUCAAAAAAGAUGGCCGUCAAGGAAAGAGCUGGAUGUCACCCCCAGGUCUCCUGGCAACCAGACUCCAGAGCUCUUGUUAUUUUGAGGAAGAGGGAUGAGAUUCAGCUCUCAAGCAUGAAGCUUUGGACUGAAAUCAAAUACCUGCUGUAGGACUGAAUCAGACUGACAUCGAGCAUUAUCUCCCGCAGAGACACUUCAGAUCAAGGGACUUAACUCUUUUCCAAGCCCAAGACACCAAGAAUGUCAAGUACUUUGGGAGUCCUUGUGUUUUGAGGCUCAAACAUCAGAUAACUGAACACCAAGGUGUUUAUUGAAGUGAGCCAGUUGCAUUGUUUUCUGACUCUGGCAGGAAAAAUAAAGUGGAGUUACUCUCUAAAUAAACUUUACUGCUUGAACACCCAUCACAUUUUGACCCUCGAAUUCCCCUACAGCUGAAAUGCACGCAUGAUGGUGGGAGUUGAAGCAUCCAUCUUGUACUAUUAAAUGACAGGAGUGUGUAGGAAAGGUGUAUGUACUUUUACAUGAAAAAUGCGUGUAUAGCAACAAGAAAGAAGGAACCUGCAUUCCGGAUGAUUGUGGGGCUGCCAUAUCAGCCCUGGACCACCUACCCAGCCUUUUACGUGACUGAGAAAUAAAAUAACUUUGAUAAACCACCAUGACUUUGCAUCUCUCUG
rnacentral:lncRNA from 1 species